rnacentral:sRNA from 3 species
CGGGCCAGUAUUAAGCAUUACCCCGUGGUGGGGUUCCCGAGCGAUCAUAAGGGAGCUGACUACAAAUCUGCCGUCAUCGACUUCAAGGUUCGACUCGAGCAAUAGUGAGAGAACGUUGCCGCAGGCAACGGCCCGAAGGGUGAGGAGCUUUAGCUCCGAAUAAUCCUUCCCGCUAUAGAA